UACGUAGGGCGCGAGCGUUGUCCGGAAUUAUUGGGCGUAAAGAGCUCGUAGGCGGCUUGUCGCGUCGGGUGUGAAAGACCGGGGCUUAACCCCGGUUCUGCAUUCGAUACGGGCAGGCUAGAGUUCGGUAGGGGAGAUCGGAAUUCCUGGUGUAGCGGUGAAAUGCGCAGAUAUCAGGAGGAACACCGGUGGCGAAGGCGGAUCUCUGGGCCGAUACUGACGCUGAGGAGCGAAAGCGUGGGGAGCGAACAGGAUUAGAAACCCUCGUAGUCC
rnacentral:rRNA from 1 species